UUGAUAGGGGAAGAAGUGUCG
rnacentral:siRNA from 1 species